rnacentral:miRNA from 1 species
UGUGUACGUGUAUGUGUAUGUAUGUGUAUAUAUAUAUAUAUACACAUACAUACACACACACGUACACACA